CAAAGUAGUUUUGGGUGGAAUGGACAAGGUGGUACAAAUAAUUUAGCUCCCUUCAAUCCAAACUCAGUACUUAUUAGUCAAGUAAAUCAGGUUCCAUUUUAUUCUCAAGUCAUGAAUCAUGGUGUAUCCUAUUUUGAAUUGCUACAGGCACAACACCAUGUAAAUGAUCCGUCAUCGUCAACACCACGUGAAUCAUACAGAGGCGAAGUGAAUGAU